UGAGAACUGAGAACUAAUCUCAACCCUUAGUUCAAUUCAAUCAACGGCCCUCGUUUUACCCGACCAAAUCAAAAUAAUAAGGGCAGAUGGGUAAUUUUGUCAAUGUGAAUGACAUCCCCUCUUAUCAGAUUUUCAGUUUUCUUUCUUUCUCUCUCUUCCUUUCGUUUUCUCUCUCUUCCUGCAAAUCCUCUUGAUUCGACUUCAUCUUCUUAAAUGUCUUCAGUUUUCGUUGUUCCUGCGAUUCGAUAUUGCUUUACAAUCUUGCGGUUUCAUCUUUCUCACUUUGCGCAGAAGUUGUACAAGGUGUUUGUGGACUUGAGUUUCAAGGUGCACAAAAAACUGGAGCAUACAAUCCCCCGGUCUUGACCAAGUCAUUAAGAAAGUGGAGAAUGCAUCAAACAAAUACCUGCCUUAUCUUCUUGAAUUCGGCUGAAGAUGAUAGUGUAAGUUCUCACUUUAGCUGCUGAUGAGGAUGUUGGUCUUUCUUCUGUUGAUCACUUCUCGGCCUAUUGAUUAUCUUUCCCGAGUGUUGCUUGUGUGACACAAGGUUGGGAUUAUUGAAGCAGCAACAAGGGCCUUAUGGUUAAGUUCUUUUGUGAUGCACUUUGGUCAUGUUGAGUUCCUUGUGUGAUUGGCAUUUGAUGCAGUCUGUAGCACUGACUUAUCAUGAAUGAUGAUUUUAUUUUUAGGAACUUUUUUCUCUGCAGUUGACUUGGGGGGGGUUUGUUGAGGGUUAUUAGUUCUGUUUGUAUGAUGGGUGCAGCUGUUAUGGGGUUGGUUCUGUUGUACUUGGUCAGCCGAGGAGCAACUAGGUUAAGUGAAUUAUUUCGAUUUACUUUUUUGGUUUUUA